rnacentral:misc_RNA from 1 species
UCUUUUUUUUUUUCCUUCUUUUUUUUAUUAAAUAUCUUUAUACUACAUAAUUGCUGCAAAGAUUUCACUGUGAUUUUAAAGAUAACUUUUCUUUUUCUUGCCCCUUUCUCUGCUUCUUUCUUUCAGUUAAAUGUUAACAGUUCAUUAUCUAUUGGUAUCUUUCAUCUUAUUGUGCUAUAGCAGUGGGAAAUUGGUUUUUGUGACCUUAAUUUUGAUUUACGUAUAAUGGAUCUGAGCCACCUGA